GUAGGUGGCAGAGUAUGUCUGUAGUGAAAGCGUGUGGCUCAACCAUAUACACAUUACAGAAACUGCUCAGCUAGAGGGCGAGAGAGGUUACUAGAAUUCCUAGUGUAGGAGUGAAAUCCGUAGAUAUUAGGAGGAAUACCGAUGGCGUAGGCAGGUAACUGGCUCGUCCCUGACACUAAGGCACGAAAGCGUGGGGAGCAAACGGGAUUAGAUACCCCGGUAGUCCACGCUGUAAACGAUGGAUGCUAGCUGUAAGAGGUAUCGACCCCUCUUGUAGCGAAGCUAACGCGUUAAGCAUCCCGCCUGUGGAGUACGGUCGCAAGACUAAAACAUAAAGGAAUUGACGGGGACCCGCACAAGCGGUGGAGCGUGUUGUUUAAUUCGAUGGUAAACGAAGAACCUUACCCAGGUUUGACAUCCUUGGAAUUUUGCCGAAAGGCGAGAGUGCUUUAUUGAGCCAAGUGACAGGUGUUGCAUGGCCGUCGUCAGCUCGUGUCGUGAGAUGUUUGGUUAAGUCCAUCAACGAGCGCAACCCUUAUAGUCUGUUGUAUUUUUCAGGCUAGACUGCCCCGGUAACGGGGAGGAAGGAGGGGAUGAUGUCAGGUCAGUAUUACCCUUACAUCUGGGGCUACAAACACGCUACAAUGGCCGGUACAAAGGGCAGCCAAGUCGCGAGACGGAGCAAAUCCCAUCAAAGCCGGUCCCAGUUCAGAUUGCAGGCUGAAACUCGCCUGCAUGAAGUCGGAAUCGCUAGUAACGGUAGGUCAGCUAUACUACCGUGAAUACGUUCCCGGGUCUUGUACACACCGCCCGUCAAACCAUGAAAGUCGGGGUACCUGACGUGUGAGCUUCGUCUCGCCCUAAGGUAAACCAGAUGAUUGGGGUU
rnacentral:rRNA from 1 species